rnacentral:rRNA from 1 species
AAGCACUCAUGACAGAUUCUUCGGAUGAUGGAUUGAUUGACUGAGUGGCGGACGGGUGAGUAACGCGUGGGUAACCUGCCUCAUACAGGGGGAUAACAGUUAGAAAUGACUGCUAAUACCGCAUAAGCGCACAGUACCGCAUGGUACGGUGUGAAAAACUCCGGUGGUAUGAGAUGGACCCGCGUCUGAUUAGCUAGUUGGUGGGGUAACGGCCUACCAAGGCGACGAUCAGUAGCCGGCCUGAGAGGGUGAACGGCCACAUUGGGACUGAGACACGGCCCAAACUCCUACGGGAGGCAGCAGUGGGGAAUAUUGCACAAUGGGGGAAACCCUGAUGCAGCGACGCCGCGUGAGCGAUGAAGUAUUUCGGUAUGUAAAGCUCUAUCAGCAGGGAAGAAAAUGACGGUACCUGACUAAGAAGCACCGGCUAAAUACGUG